UUUGUACUCCCUCUGUCCCAAAAUUCUUGUCUUAAAUUUGUCUAAAUACGGAUGUAUCUAGUUACAUUUUAGUGUUAGAUACAUCUGUAUCUAAACAAAUGUAAGACAAGAAUUUUGGGACGGAGGGAAUACUAC
rnacentral:pre_miRNA from 1 species